GAUGGCAAUGUGGAGAUUAUGCGCUUUAUUAAAUUUUGUUCCAACAUCAAAAAUUCUGGUUGCUAUGGCAACAAAAAUACAAAAAUUCUGACAAUGGUUGAGUUUCACCGGUAGGUGACCAUAUUGCUUGACAAUAGUCUUGUUAUUUAUGAAAUUUUUAACCAGGUUUUCCGAAGGAAAAAACUGGUUAUUAGAUUGGCGAAUGCGGGCGGGCGGGCUGGCUGGCUGGCGGGCUGGCUGGCUGGCGGGCUGGCGGGCUGGCGGAAUAAGCUUGUCCGGGCCAUAACUAUGUCGUUCAUUGUCAGAUUUUAAAAUCAUUUGGCACAUUUGUUCACCAUCAUUGGACGGUGUGUCGCGCGAAAUAAUUAUGCGAUAUCUCCAAGGUCAAGGUCACACUUUGAGUUCAAAGGUCAAAAAUGGCCAUAAAUGAGCUUGUCCUGGCCAUAACUAUGUCAUUCAUUGUGAGAUUUUAAAAUCAUUUGGCACAUUUGUUCACCAUCAUGGGACGGUGUGUCCCACGAAAGAAUCACGUCAAUAUCUCCAAUGUCAAGGUCGCCACGACUAAAAAUAGAUUAAAAAAAAAAAAAAAAAUACAAAGGGGGUUAAUUUUUU